rnacentral:rRNA from 1 species
UUCGGAGAAGAGCGGCGGACGGGUGAGUAACGCGUGGGUAACCUGCCCUGUACACACGGAUAACAUACCGAAAGGUAUGCUAAUACGGGAUAAUGUACUUUUGUCGCAUGGCAGAAGUAUCAAAGCUCCGGCGGUACAGGAUGGACCCGCGUCUGAUUAGCUAGUUGGAGAGGUAAUGGCUCACCAAGGCAACGAUCAGUAGCCGACCUGAGAGGGUGAUCGGCCACAUUGGAACUGAGACACGGUCCAAACUCCUACGGGAGGCAGCAGUGGGGAAUAUUGCACAAUGGGCGAAAGCCUGAUGCAGCAACGCCGCGUGAGCGAUGAAGGCCUUCGGGUCGUAAAGCUCUGUCCUCAAGGAAGAUAAUGACGGUACUUGAGGAGGAAGCCCCGGCUAACUACGUGCCAGCAGCCGCGGUAAUACGUAGGGGGCUAGCGUUAUCCGGAAUUACUGGGCGUAAAGGGUGCGUAGGUGGUUUCUUAAGUCAGAGGUGAAAGGCUACGGCUCAACCGUAGUAAGCCUUUGAAACUGAGAAACUUGAGUGCAGGAGAGGAGAGUAGAAUUCCUAGUGUAGCGGUGAAAUGCGUAGAUAUUAGGAGGAAUACCAGUUGCGAAGGCGGCUCUCUGGACUGUAACUGACACUGAGGCACGAAAGCGUGGGGAGCAAACAGGAUUAGAUACCCUGGUAGUCCACGCCGUAAACGAUGAGUACUAGGUGUCGGGGGUUACCCCCCUCGGUGCCGCAGCUAACGCAUUAAGUACUCCGCCUGGGAAGUACGCUCGCAAGAGUGAAACUCAA